rnacentral:rRNA from 1 species
UACGUAGGGUGCGAGCGUUGUCCGGAAUUAUUGGGCGUAAAGGGCUCGUAGGCGGUUUGUCGCGUCGGGAGUGAAAACACACAGCUUAACUGUGUGCCUGCUUCCGAUACGGGCAGACUAGAGGUAUGCAGGGGAGAACGGAAUUCCUGGUGUAGCGGUGAAAUGCGCAGAUAUCAGGAGGAACACCGGUGGCGAAGGCGGUUCUCUGGGCAUUACCUGACGCUGAGGAGCGAAAGUGUGGGGAGCGAACAGGAUUAGAUACCCUGGUAGUCCACACCGUAAACGUUGGGCGCUAGGUGUGGGGCCUAUUCCAUGGGUUCCGUGCCGCAGCUAACGCAUUAAGCGCCCCGCCUGGGGAGUACGGCCGCAAGGCUAAA